CCUACGGGGGGCAGCAGUGGGGAAUAUUGGUCAAUGGGCGCAAGCCUGAACCAGCCAAGUAGCGUGAAGGAUGACUGCCCUCCGGGUUGUAAACUUCUUUUAUAGGGAAAUAAAGUGCGGCACGUGUGCCUUUUUGUAUGUCUUUUAUGAAUAAGGAUCGGCUAACUCCGUGCCAGCAGCCGCGGUAAUACGGAGGAUCCGAGCGUUAUCCGGAUUUAGUGGGUUUAAAGGGAGCGUAGAUGGGGUGUUAAGUCAGUUGUGAAAGUUUGCGGCUCAACCGUAAAAUUGCAGUUGAUACUGGCAGCCCGGAGUACAGUUGAGGCAGGCGGAAUUCGUGGUGUAGCGGUGAAAUGCUUAGAUAUCACGAAGAACUCCGAUUGCGAAGGCAGCCUACUAAACUGCAACUGACAUUGAUGCUCGAAAGUGUGGGUAUCAAACAGGAUUAGAUACCCCUGUAGUC
rnacentral:rRNA from 1 species